AAGUUCGAGUGACCUGCGGAGGAUCAUUACUAUUCCGGUCUUCCGAGACCGCGUCUUCAACUCGGCCGCAGGACCUCCACGCAAGCGUCUAGGAAUGCGGUCGAGGCGGAGUAAACCCUUGCCUAUGAGUACCCUUUGUUCCCUCGGCGGGCUUGCGCCCGUCGAUGGGCCCAACCAAAACCCCUUUGCAGUAGCAGUAUACCUCUGAUCGUGGGCAUUUGAAUCUUAACAACUUUCAACAACGGAUCUCUUGGUUCUGGCAUCGAUGAAGAACGCAGCGAAAUGCGAUAAGUAGUGUGAAUUGCAGAAUUCAGUGAAUCAUCGAAUCUUUGAACGCACAUUGCGCCCCUCGGUAUUCCGUGGGGCAUGCCUGUUCGAGCGUCAUUACACCCCUCAAGCUCUGCUUGGUGUUGGGCCUCUGUCGCGCCUCUCCCGGCGCCGACUGGCCUUAAAUGCUCUGGUAGCCUCCUUGCCGGCCCUCUCAGCGCAGCAGUUCGCGCCUGCGAGCCGGCAGGAGUGCUGCCUCCACCGAAGAACCCCCCGAGUUUGACCUCGAAUCAGGUAGGGAUACCCGCUGAACUUAAGCAUAUCAAUAAGCGGAGGA
rnacentral:rRNA from 1 species